UCAAGACGAACGCUGGCGGCGUGCUUAACACAUGCAAGUCGAACGGACCUUUUUUGGAAAAAUCCUUCGAGUGGAAAUUAGGAGACGUUACUGGCGGACGGGUGAUUAACGCGGAGAUAAUCGACCUUAAAGACUGGGACUACAGUUGGAAACGACUGCUAUUACCGGAUACACUGCACUUACGGCAUCCUAGGUGCUGGAAAAGAGGCCUCUUAACAAUGCUCCUGCUUCUAAAUGAGUCUGCGUCUGAUUAGCUACAUGGUGGGGUAACGGCUUACCAUGGCGACGAUCAGUAGUCGGCCUGAUAGGGUGACCGGCCACAUUGGGACUGAUACACGGACCAAACUCCUACGGGUAGCGGCAGUGGGGAAUCUUCCGCAUUGGGCGAAAGCCUGACAGAGCAGCGCCACGUGAUCAAAUGAAGGCCUUCAGGUUGUAAAGAUCUGUUGACACGGACCAUAUAACCCUGCGAAUAGUUCUGUGUAUGACGGUACCUGUUUAGAUAGCUCCAGCUAACUACGUGCCAUCAGCCGCUGUAAUACGUACGGAGCAAGCGUUGCUCGGAAUUACUGGGCGUAUCGGGAUCGUAUGCAGGUAUGCUUGCUGAAUGUGUAAUCUAGCGGCUCUACUGAU
rnacentral:rRNA from 1 species